AACGAACGCUGGCAGCAGGCUUAACACAUGCAAGUCGAGCGCCCCGCAAGGGGAGCGGCAGACGGGUGAGUAACGCGUGGGAAUCUACCCAUCUCUACGGAAUAACGCAUGGAAACGUGUGCUAAUACCGUAUACGUCCUUCGGGAGAAAGAUUUAUCGGAGAUGGAUGAGCCCGCGUUGGAUUAGCUAGUUGGUGGGGUAAAGGCCUACCAAGGCGAUGAUCCAUAGCUGGUCUGAGAGGAUGAUCAGCCACACUGGGACUGAGACACGGCCCAGACUCCUACGGGAGGCAGCAGUGGGGAAUAUUGGACAAUGGGCGCAAGCCUGAUCCAGCCAUGCCGCGUGAGUGAUGAAGGCCCUAGGGUUGUAAAGCUCUUUCACCGGUGAAGAUAAUGACGGUAACCGGAGAAGAAGCCCCGGCUAACUUCGUGCCAGCAGCCGCCGUAACAC
rnacentral:rRNA from 1 species